GCUUGUCUCAAAGAUUAAGCCAUGCAUGUCUAAGUAUAAAUACCUUAUACUGUGAAACUGCGUAUGGCUCAUUAAAUCAGUUAUAGUUUAUUUGAUGAUUACUCACUACAUGGAUAACCGUAGUAAUUCUAGAGCUAAUACAUGCGUCAAACGUCGACUUCUGGAAGACGUGUAUUUAUUAGAUAAAAAACCAAUUCCGCAAGGAUUUUUUGGUGAUUCAUAAUAACUGUUCGGAGCCCAUGGUCUUGCACUGGGGCCAGGUCAUUCAAAUUUCUGCCCUAUCAGCUUUCGAUGGUAGUGUAGUGGACUACCAUGGCUUUAACGGGUGACGGAGAAUUAGGGUUCGAUUCCGGAGAGGGAGCCUGAGAAACGGCUACCACAUCCAAGGAAGGCAGCAGG
rnacentral:rRNA from 1 species